CGGGUAGAGUAAUGCGUGACCAACCUGCCCCAUGCUCCAGAAUAGCUCUUGGAAACGGGUGGUAAUGCUGGAUGCUCCAACUUGACGCAUGUCUUGUUGGGAAAGUGUUUAGUGGCAUGGGAUGGGGUCGCGUCCUAUCAGCUUGUAGGCGGGGUAAUGGCCCACCUAGGCUUCGACGGGUAGCCGGCCUGAGAGGGCGGACGGCCACAUUGGGACUGAGAUACGGCCCAGACUCCUACGGGAGGCAGCAGG
rnacentral:rRNA from 1 species